UACGUAGGGUGCAAGCGUUGUCCGGAAUUAUUGGGCGUAAAGAGCUCGUAGGCGGUUUGUCGCGUCUGCUGUGAAAACGCGAGGCUCAACCUCGCGCCUGCAGUGGGUACGGGCAGACUAGAGUGCGGUAGGGGAGAUUGGAAUUCCUGGGUGUAGCGGUGGAAUGCGCAGAUAUCAGGAGGAACACCAAUGGCGAAGGCAGAUCUCUGGGCCGUAACUGACGCUGAGGAGCGAAAGCAUGGGGAGCGAACAGG
rnacentral:rRNA from 1 species